UGUGAGGUAAAGCAACUACCAUCUCAAAACCUACAAAAACAAGGGCAAUUGCUUAAACGUGCCUUUUCUCUUGACCAAAGGAACAAAUAAUGUAAGAUAGGCUUCUAGACAUGUGCAGGUGAGAUGCAGUGAGCAGGUGAGAAUGUUAUGGGCAGCCUGGGAGCUACAGGUGGGAUUUGUGUGAAGCCAGCCAUUUCAGGCCAAACAAGCUACAGCUGAUGGUGUAGGAAGCUUAUAAGUUUGUUCUAACAUGGACGGGUUCUAUGGAGAAGUUUUUCUCGUGUUUCAGCAGCGAAACGAUCAAGAAAAUAUUUGGGAAUGGUCCUGCAUUUACAGAAAGGAGCCCUUUGCUUCUGGAGGUGUUUCUCUGCAGCGCUGCCACUAGAGCAGCGCCACCGAUGGGUCACUUAAGUGGAAGGUAUUAUUUAGAGAAGGGGCAUGGUGCAGAGUGCUUGAAUCAUGGCUCUGCCAGCUGCUGACACACUGAUAAUAGACUUCUUGUCAAGCAACAGCUGUUAGAGAGAAAUCAGGUUUGAUUAGAAGGCAGGUAUAUUGAGGGGAGAAGAAGUGGGAUGAAGUGUAAGGUUAUUACAACAAACCACAGGGGAAAAUCCUGUUCCUGAUGUGAUCUUUGAAGGUACAUAGUGUUUCUUCUUGGUUUUUGUUUCUAUACAGCUAAGAGAAGCAUCAACAUGCAACACAUUUUAAGAACUGUAGGGGCUGGUGGGGAGGCACACACUUCUCAAGUACUUGAAAGAAGGCAUAUAAAUAUAAAGGGGCUUUCUUCAGAAAGUUGGAAAAA
rnacentral:lncRNA from 1 species